AUUGAACGCUGGCGGCAUGCUUUACACAUGCAAGUCGAACGGCAGCGCGGGCUUCGGCCUGGCGGCGAGUGGCGAACGGGUGAGUAAUGCAUCGGAACGUGCCCCGUAGUGGGGGAUAGCCCGGCGAAAGCCGGAUUAAUACCGCAUACGACCUGAGGGUGAAAGCGGGGGACCGAAAGGCCUCGCGCUAUUGGAGCGGCCGAGGCCGGAUUAGCUAGUUGGUGGGGUAAAGGCUUACCAAGGCGACGAUCCGUAGCUGGUCUGAGAGGACGACCAGCCACACUGGGACUGAGACACGGCCCAGACUCCUACGGGAGGCAGCAGUGGGGAAUGGUGGACAAUGGGGGCAACCCUGAUCCAGCCAUGCCGCGUGCGGGAAGAAGGCCUUCGGGUUGUAAACCGCUUUUGUUCGGGAAGAAAUCCUCUGGGCUAAUACCCCGGGGGGAUGACGGUACCGGAAGAAUAAGCACCGGCUAACUACGUG
rnacentral:rRNA from 1 species